rnacentral:lncRNA from 1 species
UAGCCUCAAUGUAUACGAACAUGAACCAGGAAGCAAAAAUCAUUUACAUAAAAAUUAAUUAAGAAGCUAUUUGCACAUGAACAUAAUAGUCCUUUUUAAAACUUGACAUCAAAUUGGACUCGUGGUAGUCAAAUCUUUAAGCCUUAAUAAUCGUGAACCAAUCAAUUUGGUUCUUGCCUAAUUCUGCUGAAGCAAUCAAACAGCCUUAAUCAUCUUUAACGUGAUCCUUAUCAAGGAGCUUAAUAUGAACAAUGUAAGAUCUGUUCUCCUUUCAAUGAUUAAACGACAGUAAACAGAAAACUAAACACACAACAUACUAUCCAAACAGAUACACAUUCUUAAUGUAACUAAUAUACGUAUGGCUUUAUUCUUUCUUUCAAUACUCAUUUUUCCCUCAGUUAAAGACAAUGUAACACACAAACGAAUGAUGUUUUAUCUACAGUCUUAAAGCAUGUUUAGAACGGUCCAAGCAAAAUAUUUUCGUGGCAGCAGAAUAAACUGAGGAACUCAAAUUGCUUCACUUGCAUUCUGAAAUUACAGCAGCUCUUAAGAGGAAUACCUGGUAGCAGAAAGGUAAGUAUCAGCAAUGGACCAAGUAACAGAAACCAACAGCAACAACAGCAAAAACCAAGCAGCUCUUAACCCAAAGAAAAGUGAACCAGAGAUGACCAACAGAGUAAUUGCAGCCAGCAAUUAGUCACUCUAGAAAUUUCUUACAAGAUCCCUCUACUUUCUUAAAGGUUUUGCACUUAAGAGUCGACUCACAAAGCUCACGAGUUUCAGCUUUCUUUUCAGCUUACUAUAGAUGUUAGUUAAGUUGAUCUUUUUUGCUCUCAAGUGGUGUUUCUUUUUCAGUAAGUAUCCCCAUUCUAAGUGUAGGAGAGUCCACUUUAUAGGAGAAGAGCAGCCCUUUAAAUAAGCAAAUAAAGUCAGAUUUUUAGAAAGAUUUUGAUUCACCAAAAGUCUGUCCAAAAGACUGAUUUUAUGUGCUAAACACUGUUCAAAAUCUGUCCAAAAGGUGAAAGGACAGCCUGAAAAUCUGGUGUGUCAGAAACAAGGAGAAAAAUAAUGUCAUUUCAGCCACCCUACUAGUAAAAGGUAGGCUACUAGUAUACUAUUUUAUGAUAAAAUAACUUAAAUUUCAGAUUUUAACCAUCAACACCAAACUACUUGAUUUUGAACCAAAUCAAACUCAAACGACUAACAAUUGACAAAACAGAAACAAGAUUUUAAAUAGAACUAAAACUCAAACUAACUAGAUUAAAACAAAUUGAUUUGUGCAAACUAAACAUAGAACAAACAACCGGAUUUACAAACUAAUGCUCAAAACAGAACGAGCAUCGUUAACAAUCGGACGACGACGUUUAACAACUAAACAAUCGAUUAACUAAGCAAACGAUUAAACUAAUGCACUAAAGAUUAUGUUUAAUUAAUAAUAGUCUAACAAACAACUAAACUUUAUAGAGAUAACUAAUUAAAUAAAUCUAACCUGAAACUCUAAUUAACAACAAACCCAAAACAAAAAAAUUAAAAUCAGGAACUAAAAUUAAAUCAAGAGCUUACCUAUUACUACUAAAAAAAAUCAGAAAUUAAGUAAAGAGAUGACGAUUAUACCUAACAAGCGUGCUUGAAGCUGUUCAAGCCAUGAGAAGACGUCGGAAAUGCCAAGAAGUAGUUGCACGACCAUGGAAUGCUUAUUUUAUUUUGGUAGACUCCAAAUUCAAUGAACUUGGUGUCAUACCAAAAGGAAAUGAGUGUUCUUGGGUCGGAAUUAGGCUAAAAUAGAGGAGGACGAGUGCGGCAGUAGUGGCGGGUCGACGGUGAGGGAGGCUGGCCGGCGGCGACGGGGAUUUUGGGGGUGAAAUGGGUAGGAAAAGAUAGAUCUCGCGGAGCUCUAUCCAUUCAUGUAUGUGUUGUAGGGUGGUGUUGGCCAGAGCUUCAAGAAUUUGGGCCAAAAAAUAGCGGCUAAAGUUUCCUAGAUCUAAAAUUCAAGGAGUUUGAGGGGUUUUUGAAGGGAAUGGUUUGGAGAUAUGGGAAGAGGAGGUUGUGGAGAUUACAUGGUGUGAAGUUGGAGGUGUUUGGAGGUGGUCCUCUGCCGGUGGGUGAUUUCCGGCGGCGGCAGUGGAGAGAAGAUAGAGAAGAGAGAGAGAGAGAGAUAAGAGAAAGAGGAGAGAAGAAGGUAAGGCAAAA